rnacentral:rRNA from 1 species
GUCGAGCGGAUGAAGAAGAAGCUUGCUUCUUCUGAUUUUAGCGGCGGACGGGUGAGUAACACGUGGGCAACCUACCUUGUAGAUUGGGAUAACUCCGGGAAACCGGGGCUAAUACCGAAUAAUCCAUUUUGCUUCAUGGCGAAAUGUUAAAAGGCGGCUUCGGCUGUCACUGCAAGAUGGGCCCGCGGCGCAUUAGCUAGUUGGUAAGGUAACGGCUUACCAAGGCGACGAUGCGUAGCCGACCUGAGAGGGUGAUCGGCCACACUGGGACUGAGACACGGCCCAGACUCCUACGGGAGGCAGCAGUAGGGAAUCUUCCACAAUGGACGAAAGUCUGAUGGAGCAACGCCGCGUGAGUGAAGAAGGUUUUCGGAUCGUAAAACUCUGUUGUAAGGGAAGAACACGUACGAGAGUAACUGCUCGUACCUUG